UUUGUGUGUUUGUCGUUUCGAUUCUGUCUCUCUGUGGCUCUGGUCGACGGCAGCGGAGGUCUCAUUCGGUGGCUCUCCUCGUAUCGCUCAGGCAUGGAGUAUUGGCGUCACUUAUACUCUCGUGUGGUCGGUCAAGAGUGGAGCAUUGGAUUCUCAUGUCAUGGACUGUUGUCUUUGUUUCACAAGUCUUGUAGUAGAUUAAUAUCUCUUGUAGGUCACGGGUCAAGAAGAGUGUCAGUUCACUGACUCAUGUUCUUGUUGUUUUGUGUAUCACAUAUUGUAUAUAACUUUUUUACUUGUGUUGUGUCACGGACUUGUGUAACUUGUGUUUUGUUUUCUAUAUAGUUUGCAUUCUCUCA